GACGAACGCUGGCGGCGUGCUUAACACAUGCAAGUCGAACGGAAAGGCCCUGCUUUUGUGGGGUGCUCGAGUGGCGAACGGGUGAGUAACACGUGAGUAACCUGCCCUUGACUUUGGGAUAACUUCAGGAAACUGGGGCAAAAACCGGAUAGAAGCUCCUGCGGCAUGGGGGGGGUUGGAAAGUUUCGGCGGUUGGGGAUGGACUCGCGGCUUAUCAGCUUGUUGGUGGGGUAGUGGCUUACCAAGGCUUUGACGGGUAGCCGGCCUGAGAGGGUGACCGGCCACAUUGGGACUGAGAUACGGCCCAGACUCCUACGGGAGGCAGCAGUGGGGAAUAUUGCACAAUGGGCGGAAGCCUGAUGCAGCAACGCCGCGUGCGGGAUGACGGCCUUCGGGUUGUAAACCGCUUUCGCCUGUGACGAAGCGUGAGUGACGGUAAUGGGUAAAGAAGCACCGGCUAACUACGUG
rnacentral:rRNA from 1 species